rnacentral:rRNA from 1 species
AACCGAGAACUCCUACGGGAGGCAGCAGUGGGGAAUAUUGGACAAUGGGCGAAAGCCUGAUCCAGCAAUGCCGCGUGAGUGAUGAAGGCCUUAGGGUUGUAAAGCUCUUUUACCCGGGAUGAUAAUGACAGUACCGGGAGAAUAAGCUCCGGCUAACUCCGUGCCAGCAGCCGCGGUAAUACGGAGGGAGCUAGCGUUAUUCGGAAUUACUGGGCGUAAAGCGCACGUAGGCGGCUUUGUAAGUUAGAGGUGAAAGCCUGGAGCUCAACUCCAGAAUUGCCUUUAAGACUGCAUCGCUUGAAUCCAGGAGAGGUGAGUGGAAUUCCGAGUGUAGAGGUGAAAUUCGUAGAUAUUCGGAAGAACACCAGUGGCGAAGGCGGCUCACUGGACUGGUAUUGACGCUGAGGUGCGAAAGCGUGGGGAGCAAACAGGAUUAGAUACCCGAGUAGUCCGACUGAGA